AGUUUAGCUUACAUAACCUAAAGGCACCAGAUCCUGUCUGAUCUUGGAAGCUAAACAGGAACAGCCCUUGUUAGUACUUGGAUGGGAGGCCGCCAGCAAAUCACAGGUGGUGUAGGUG
rnacentral:rRNA from 1 species